AGUAGUAUGGUUGGGUUAUAUGGUAGGUAUGUGUUUAAAUUUGUAAGAAACUCCUGAAACAUUUUUCAAACUGGUUGCACCAUUUUACAUUCCCACCAGCAUU
rnacentral:pre_miRNA from 1 species